CAUUUUUUUGAGAGGAUUAAUAUUCAACAGCAUAGUGAAUUGCUCUAAGAGAAAACAAAAAUUUUAAGUUCAUUAGAACACAUUCAUUCUGUGUCAGAAACCUAUGCUGUGUCAACUAUUUAAUCACAAUCCAAAUUUAGAGCUGAAUCCAGCUUGAAUGUUGUGUCCAUACUUGCCCCAACCGUUCAGGGUUCAACCUCUGCGGUCGUAUAAAGCUACGCCCUGCGGAGCAUCUGGUCCAAACAGAAAAAAAGUAAAUGUACAGUACAGACCAUAUAUAUUUUUAUAUGACCAUACCUUCCAUUGGUGUGGUUUGUGGAACAAUAUGUUUUUAUGUAUUCUCAUACAGCAUGUAUGACAGUAGUAGGCAGUAGGACCACAAUCCUGGCAAUAAAUUAUUUCCUGCUCUUGUGAAUCACAGAAGCAGCAGGAAUAUGAUGCUGGUGAAAAUUCUUCAAUUCUUGUCACCAGCAGUUUUUCUCUUAAUAGGUCCCAUGCUUCCAUGACCUUUUUUCUCUUUUCAGAAUAGGUAUUACCGUAUUACCUUUGGUUGUUUUCAA
rnacentral:lncRNA from 1 species